GGGUGUUGAGAGCUUUCACAUGCUGCCAAGACAGCUCAGCUCGCUGUGGAUCUAGUGCUGGUUUUGCAGUCAACGUUGAGAUGGUUCUGCCUUUUGAGCAUCAAAAGGAGAUCCUGCAAUUACUCUUUUAUUGUGGAACUGCAAUCCAUGGAUGAGUAUGUAAUAAGACUAAAAAACAUGACUGACGCUUCAAAACAUCUAAAGAUAAAAACUGACUUCUAAGUAUUUACAUUUGAUAGCCAUCAUCACUACUCAUCCCCCCUCCCCUCCUCUUCCAAAUAAUGCCUGCACACUGUUACUGUUUAACAAGUAAAAUACUAGUUAAAGAUCAAAAUCAUUCUUCUUUUUAUUUACUACAUUGAAAGUUUUUCAUUUUCGGUUUCCUUCCUUCCAUAAAAGAACUAAUUUAUCCAUUUCAUAGUUUGGUUUGUUUCUCGGUUAUUAUAAACAGCAGCUGAAGUAAUACAUCAACAAGGACAGGUAAGUUGAACAGCGUCAGCUUUUAUCAACCUCAAGUUUACUCUUGAAAACUCAAAGCAUUCAAAUAUCUAAAAUAGAAUGAAAAAGAAUACUUUCAGCCCUCCUAAAAUACUUUCCAGCUAAGUAGAAGUAAAAAAAAAAAAUGCAAAUGGUUCAAAACUUCUCCUCAGUUUUACUUCAUAUAAAUGAAACUACUCAAUUAAAGCCAUAAGCAAACAAAAUCUUAUUCUAAACGCCAGCCUACUUCAGUUUCGCAUUGAGGAGAAUAAAAUAAUACAAAGAACAUCAAAUCAGGGUUAGGCUAUCAAUUCAGGGAAGGAACAAUGAAGUGACUUUAAAAAAGAAAAAGAAAAUAACUAUCAGCAGAAUCGUUGAUCUCGGCGGCCGAGCUCGAUAACCGUUUCUUCCCUUUCAUGACGAGAUUGGGCGGUUCAAUGAAUUUUGUUUUUAGUAAAAAAG
rnacentral:lncRNA from 1 species